rnacentral:snoRNA from 1 species
GGAUGAUUGCUUCCAUGCACCACUCCGAAGUUGCUGUGGAGCUAGAUCCUUCCUGCAC